rfam:Cavia porcellus supercont2_207 genomic scaffold, whole genome shotgun sequence.
CGGGUCCCAAUGUGGGGCUCGAGAAUGGAGGUUCCAGUGAGGGACACUGUUUGGAAGGCAAGCACAAAGACAGGAUGAAGAAAAGCCCAAAAAACAGAGGAAAAGUCUACGUGGGAGCCUGCUGCAUUUUCUAAACCUUGGUAAGUGAACAGUGAUUAUGGGCAAAGAAAUUAGCCAAAAUGAGAUCUUUAUUGAAAGUUUAGGAAAGGCUCUAAAAGCAUGAAGACUAAAGGUUAAAAUUUAGCAAUUGUGUCAAUAUUUUGAUUUUAUAAAAGAAGUCUGUCUUG